UGCAAGUCGAGCGGACAGAAGGGAGCUUGCUCCCCGGAUGUUAGCGGCGGACGGGUGAGUAACACGUGGGUAACCUGCCUGUAAGACUGGGAUAACUCCGGGAAACCGGAGCUAAUACCGGAUAGUUCCUUGAACCGCAUGGUUCAAGGAUGAAAGACGGUUUCGGCUGUCACUUACAGAUGGACCCGCGGCGCAUUAGCUAGUUGGUGAGGUAACGGCUCACCAAGGCGACGAUGCGUAGCCGACCUGAGAGGGUGAUCGGCCACACUGGGACUGAGACACGGCCCAGACUCCUACGGGAGGCAGCAGUAGGGAAUCUUCCGCAAUGGACGAAAGUCUGACGGAGCAACGCCGCGUGAGUGAUGAAGGUUUUCGGAUCGUAAAGCUCUGUUGUUAGGGAAGAACAAGUGCAAGAGUAACUGCUUGCACCUUGACGGUACCUAACCAGAAAGCCACGGCUAACUACGUGCCAGCAGCCGCGGUAAUACGUAGGUGGCAAGCGUUGUCCGGAAUUAUUGGGCGUAAAGGGCUCGCAGGCGGUUUCUUAAGUCUGAUGUGAAAGCCCCCGGCUCAACCGGGGAGGGUCAUUGGAAACUGGGAAACUUGAGUGCAGAAGAGGAGAGUGGAAUUCCACGUGUAGCGGUGAAAUGCGUAGAGAUGUGGAGGAACACCAGUGGCGAAGGCGACUCUCUGGUCUGUAACUGACGCUGAGGAGCGAAAGCGUGGGGAGCGAACAGGAUUAGAUACCCUGGUAGUCCACGCCGUAAACGAUGAGUGCUAAGUGUUAAGGGGUUUCCGCCCCUUAGUGCUGCAGCUAACGCAUUAAGCACUCCGCCUGGGGAGUACGGUCGCAAGACUGAAACUCAAAGGAAUUGACGGGGGCCCGCACAAGCGGUGGAGCAUGUGGUUUAAUUCGAAGCAACGCGAAGAACCUUACCAGGUCUUGACAUCCUCUGACAACCCUAGAGAUAGGGCUUUCCCUUCGGGGACAGAGUGACAGGUGGUGCAUGGUUGUCGUCACCUCCUGUCCUGAGAUGUUGGGUUAAGU
rnacentral:rRNA from 1 species